GCCAGGGAGGCAUAGUGGUUCAAGCGUUGAAUUAUGACUUUGGAGACCAGGGUUCGAUUCCUUGCUUGGCC